rnacentral:rRNA from 1 species
ACACGACCGUACCGCAAACCGACACUGGUGCGCGAGAUGAGUAUUCUAAGGCGCUUGAGAGAACUCAGGAGAAGGAACUCGGCAAAUUGACACCGUAACUUCGGAAGAAGGUGUGCCUUUAGUAGGUGAAGUCCCUCGCGGAUGGAGCCCAAUGAGGUUGCAAAAAAUCGGUGGCUGCGACUGUUUAUUAAAAACACAGCUCUCUGCAAACACGAAAGUGGACGUAUAGGGUGUGACGCCUGCCCGGUGCUGGAAGAUUAAAUGAUGGGGUGCAAGCUCUUGAUUGAAGUCCCAGUAAACGGCGGCCGUAACGAUAACGGUCCUAAGGUAGCGAAAUUCCUUGUCGGGUAAGUUCCGACCUGCACGAAUGGCGUAACGAUGGCCACACUGUCUCCUCCUGAGACUCAGCGAAGUUGAAAUGUUUGUGAUGAUGCAAUCUCCCCGCGGAAAGACGGAAAGACCCCAUGAACCUUUACUGUAGCUUUGUAUUGGACUUUGAACAGAUCUGUGUAGGAUAGGUGGGAGGCUUUGAAGCAGGGUCGCUAGAUCUUGUGGAGCCAACGUUGAAAUACCACCCUGGUGUGUUUGAGGUUCUAACCUAGGCCCGUAAUCCGGGUUGGGGACAGUGUAUGGUAGGCAGUUUGACUGGGGCGGUCUCCUCCCAAAGUGUAACGGAGGAGUUCGAAGGUACGCUAGUUACGGUCGGACAUCGUGACGAUAGUGCAAUGGCAUAAGCGUGCUUAACUGCGAGACUGACAAGUCGAGCAGAUGCGAAAGCAGGACAUAGUGAUCCGGUGGUUCUGUAUGGAAGGGCCAUCGCUCAACGGAUAAAAGGUACUCUGGGGAUAACAGGCUGAUACCGCCCAAGAGUUCAUAUCGACGGCGGUGUUUGGCACCUCGAUGUCGGCUCAUCUCAUCCUGGGGCUGUAGCCGGUCCCAAGGGUAUGGCUGUUCGCCAUUUAAAGAGGUACGUGAGCUGGGUUUAAAACGUCGUGAGACAGUUUGGUCCCUAUCUUCCGUGGGCGCUGCAGAUUUGAGGAAGCCUGCUCCUAGUACGAGAGGGCCGGAGUGGACGCACCUCUGGUGUAUCGGUUGUCACGCCAGUGGCAUUGCCGAGUAGCUAUGUGCGGAAGAGAUAACCGCUGAAAGCAUCUAAGCGGGAAACUCGUUUCAAGAUGAGAUCUGCCGGGGCCUUGAGCCCCCUGAAGAGUCGUUCAAGACCAGGACGUUGAUAGGUCGGGUGUGGAAGCGCAGUAAUGCGUUAAGCUAACCGAUACUAAUUGCUCGUGCGGCUUGACCU